rnacentral:rRNA from 1 species
UCGGAAUUACUGGGCGUAAAGGGCGCGUAGGCGGACAGUUAAGUUGGGGGUGAAAGCCCGGGGCUCAACCUCGGAAUUGCCUUCAAUACUGGCUGUCUUGAGUACGGGAGAGGUGUGUGGAACUCCGAGUGUAGAGGUGAAAUUCGUAGAUAUUCGGAAGAACACCAGUGGCGAAGGCGACACACUGGCCCGUUACUGACGCUGAGGCGCGAAAGCGUGGGGAGCAAACAGG